rnacentral:tmRNA from 1 species
GGGGGUGAAAGGUAUCGACCCGGAUUUUUGGUCGAGAAGCAGCAUGUAGAGGUUGCUGGGAGGCCUCUUUAAACACCUGGCGAUAAAUAAACGCAAACGAAGCAGUAGCUGAGGCCGAGGCAAUCAUAGCCUCGGAUGCGUUACAUGUUCCUCAAUUUGCAGGAACAGCUCCAUUAGCUUUAGCCUUAUAAGCUAAAUAGGAGUUCAUAAUAAAGGCAAGCUUAAGGGUCGGCUUCGGACUUUUGAGCUAAAUUGACAGAAGCUGCUUCUUUCUGAAUCCAGUUUUACGGAGUCAGAAAGAAAAAGACAAAAGUCAGACUAAACAUGUAGACACUUCUUGGGUAGAGUUCGGGGACGAGGGUUCGAAUCCCUCCACCUCCACCA